rnacentral:rRNA from 1 species
ACUCCUACGGGAGGCAGCAGUAGGGAAUCUUCCACAAUGGGUGCAAACCUGAUGGAGCAAUGCCGCGUGAGUGAAGAAGGUCUUCGGAUCGUAAAGCUCUGUUGUUAGAGAAGAACACGUGCUAGGUAACUACUAGCGCCUUGACGGUAUCUAACCAGAAAGUCACGGCUAACUACGUGCCAGCAGCCGCGGUAAUACGUAGGUGACAAGCGUUGUCCGGAUUUAUUGGGCGUAAAGGGAGCGCAGGCGGUCUGUUUAGUCUAAUGUGAAAGCCCACGGCUUAACCGUGGAACGGCAUUGGAAACUGACAGACUUGAAUGUAGAAGAGGAAAAUGGAAUUCCAAGGGUAGCGGUGGAAUGCGUAGAUAUUUGGAGGAACACCAGUGGCGAAGGCGAUUUUCUGGUCUAACAUUGACGCUGAGGCUCGAAAGCGUGGGGAGCGAACAGGAUUAGAAACCCCUGUAGUCCCAUGA